rnacentral:tRNA from 1 species
GGCCGGUUAGCUCAGUGGGUUGAGCGCAGUGCUGACAACAAUGACACCACCGAGGUCGUGGGUUCGAUUCCCGCUCGGUCC